GUUUCCAGAAAGAUACCUUAGUAAUAAACUAACAGGUCCCAGACCACCUGAAUUCUUGGAAAGCAGCACAAAUCUUUGUAUGUGGCAAGAUGCAUGGAGUUCUGAUUACUCAGUGUUUUCAAACUUAGACAAAGUCGUUUCAUUGAGCUAGAGACAACCCAUUGAAAACUGUCACUCCACCUUAAGCCAAUAAUAACUGCAACUGAAAGAUUGAGAGGCCUAAGAUAGAUAAGAAAAUACAAACUAUUUUAAUACAAAAUAGUUUAAUACAAAAUACAAACUUUGUAUCAUUUAAACUGUGAGAUGUGCAUUGUAAGAGCAUGUUAAUAAUGUCAUAAAUGUGCAGACAUUUGCCCUUUUCUCUCUCUCUCACUACCUGUAGAUUUGGGUCUCUUACAUAUAUACAGGUACUAUUUUUGUAGUAAUCUGGUUGCUUUAGAAAUUGUAAUUAAAGCAUCAGUAAAUGCUUUAAUUAAAGCAUCAGUAAAAGAAUUGUUUCACUUGUUACAAGCUUAAUUACAUUCAGAACAGGUAUCAUGUUUCUUUUCUAUAGACUAUGUCCUCUGUGUUUAUAUC
rnacentral:lncRNA from 1 species